UUCCAACGAGGGAGGGGGAGGCUUCCCCCAGAGGCCAAAGCCUGCCCUUCUGCAGCAUCUGAAGGAUGGCUUGGCUCGCCCCAUCCGCAAGAAGCGGGGGUCUCGCUUUAGGGCGCCCCACUGAAUGGCCGAGGAGGACAAGCCGCCGCCCCCCUCCCCGAUUCCUUUUUUUCUGGCAGAUGGAUGAAAAUGCACCCUUCCCAGGUCCAUCCCGACUGCUUUCUCCGCGCUGAAGACCAUCAACUAAGAAGACCAACCAAGAAACCUGUCGCUCGCCUUAUUGCGCUCCAGGAGCCGUUCUCCAAGGCCUUUGCAAAGUUGACUCUACGGAAGGUCGCGAGGCAAGAAGCGCAAGGGACUGGCGGCUCGAGCUGAGGAAAGGAACCAGAGGAGCCACCGAAAAGGGAAAGGAAAAGAGGCUUGAAAAGACGCGUCGUCGGGAAAAAAGCGGAGGUGCUACAGUCUUGAAGAAGGAGAAUGGAUUGGAACUAAAGACGCUAAACUCCUAAUAAGAAAACGAUGCCCCCAAGCUCUGUUAAGAGCGAUUGUCAUUCCUGGUUGCGAGCGUCAGAUUAUUAGCCCGGAACGAUUCUUGUCCAGCUUUCCUUCCUUUUUUUUUUCCUUGGGAAGCAACUGGUUUGACGCACGCCUUUUACUCCAAAAUAAAUUGUAAUGAUCUUCUAACAAGGCCAAAAUAAACAAUGGAUUGCUUGUUCUCUUCCCUA